rnacentral:rRNA from 1 species
GAUGAACGCUGGCGGCGUGCCUAAUACAUGCAAGUAGAACGCUGAAGCUUGGUGCUUGCACCGAGCGGAUGAGUUGCGAACGGGUGAGUAACGCGUAGGUAACCUGCCUCUUAGCGGGGGAUAACUAUUGGAAACGAUAGCUAAUACCGCAUAAAAGUCGAUAUCGCAUGAUGUUGACUUGAAAGGUGCAAUUGCAUCACUAAGAGAUGGACCUGCGUUGUAUUAGCUAGUUGGUGAGGUAACGGCUCACCAAGGCGACGAUACAUAGCCGACCUGAGAGGGUGAUCGGCCACACUGGGACUGAGACACGGCCCAGACUCCUACGGGAGGCAGCAGUAGGGAAUCUUCGGCAAUGGGGGCAACCCUGACCGAGCAACGCCGCGUGAGUGAAGAAGGUUUUCGGAUCGUAAAGCUCUGUUGUAAGAGAAGAACGAGUGUGAGAGUGGAAAGUUCACACUGUGACGG